rnacentral:rRNA from 1 species
UACGAGAGGCCCAAACGUUAUUCGGAUUUACUGGGCUUAAAGAGUUCGUAGGCGGCGCGGAAAGUAGGGUGUGAAAGCCCUCGGCUCAACCGAGGAAUUGCGCCCUAAACUGCCGUGCUAGAGGAACCUAGAGGUGAGCAGAACUGAUGGUGGAGCGGUGAAAUGCGUUGAUAUCAUCAGGAAUACCGGAGGCGAAGGCGGCUCACUGGGGGUUUUCUGACGCUGAGGAACGAAAGCCAGGGUAGCGAACGGG